CGGUAACAGAAGAGCUUGCUCUUGCUGACGAGUAGCGGACGGGUGAGUAACGUAUGGGGAUCUGCCGAAUGGAGGGGGACAACAGUUGGAAACGACUGCUAAUACCGCAUAAUGUCGCGAGACCAAAGCAUGGGACCUUAGGGCCAUGCGCCAUUUGAUGAACCCAUAUGGGAUUAGCUAGUAGGUGAGGUAAUGGCUCACCUAGGCGACGAUCUCUAGCUGGUCUGAGAGGAUGACCAGCCACACUGGGACUGAGACACGGCCCAGACUCCUACGGGAGGCAGCAGUGGGGAAUAUUGCACAAUGGGGGAAACCCUGAUGCAGCCAUGCCGCGUGUAUGAAGAAGGCCUUCGGGUUGUAAAGUACUUUCGGUAGCGAGGAAGGGGUUAUAUCUAAUAGGUGUAACCAUUGACGUUAACUACAGAAGAAGCACCGGCUAACUCCGUGCCAGCAGCCGCGGUAAUACGGAGGGUGCGAGCGUUAAUCGGAAUGACUGGGCGUAAAGGGCAUGUAGGCGGAUAGUUAAGUUAGGUGUGAAAGCCCCGGGCUCAACCUGGGAAUUGCAUUUAAAACUGGUUAUCUGGAGUAUUGUAGAGGAAGGUAGAAUUCCAUGUGUAGCGGUGAAAUGCGUAGAGAUGUGGAGGAAUACCGGUGGCGAAGGCGGCCUUCUGGACAAAUACUGACGCUGAGAUGCGAAAGCGUGGGGAGCAAACAGGAUUAGAUACCCUGGUAGUCCACGCUGUAAACGAUGUCAACUUGGGAGUUUGGGUCCUAGAGACCUGGGCUCCGAAGCUAACGCGAUAGUUGACCGCCCUGGGGAGUACGGCCGCAAGGUAAA
rnacentral:rRNA from 1 species